GAUGAACGCUGGCGGCGUGCUUAACACAUGCAAGUCGAACGAAGCACUCUACUUGAUCUCUUCGGAGUGAUUGUUUUGUGACUGAGUGGCGGACGGGUGAGUAACGCGUGGGUAACCUGCCUCAUACAGGGGGAUAACAGUUGGAAACGACUGCUAAUACCGCAUAAGCGCACAGCAUCGCAUGAUGCAGUGUGAAAAACUCCGGUGGUAUGAGAUGGACCCGAGUCUGAUUAGCCAGUUGGUGGGGUAACGGCCUACCAAAGCGACGAUCAGUAGCCGACCUGAGAGGGUGACCGGCCACAUUGGGACUGAGACACGGCCCAAACUCCUACGGGAGGCAGCAGUGGGGAAUAUUGCACAAUGGGGGAAACCCUGAUGCAGCGACGCCGCGUGAGCGAAGAAGUAUUUCGGUAUGUAAAGCUCUAUCAGCAGGGAAGAAGAAAUGACGGUACCUGACUAAGAAGCACCGGCUAAAUACGUGCCAGCCGCCGCGGUAA
rnacentral:rRNA from 1 species